CCUACGGGAGGCAGCAGUGAGGAAUAUUGGUCAAUGGGCGCGAGUCUGAACCAGCCAAGUAGCGUGAAGGAUGACUGCCCUAUGGGUUGUAAACUUCUUUUAUAAAGGAAUAAAGUGUUGCACGUGUGCCUUUUUGUAUGUACUUUAUGAAUAAGCAUCGGCUAACUCCGUGCCAGCAGCCGCGGUAAUACGGAGGAUGCGAGCGUUAUCCGGAUUUAUUGGGUUUAAAGGGUGCGUAGAUGGGUUGUUAAGUCAGUUGUGAAAGUGUGGGGCUUAACCGUAAAAUUGCAAUUGAUACUGGCAUUCUUGAGUACAGUUGAGGUAGGCGGAAUACGUGAAGUAGCGGUGAAAUGCUUAGAUAUCACGUAGAACUCCGAUUGCGAAGGCAGCUUACCAGACUGCCACUGACACUGAAGCACGAGAGUGUGGGUAGCGAACAGGAUUAGAUACCCGUGUAGUC
rnacentral:rRNA from 1 species